AGCAGUCGCCGCGGGAAUACGAAGGGGGCUAGCGUUGUUCGGAUUUACUGGGCGUAAAGCGCACGUAGGCGGACUUUUAAGUCAGGGGUGAAAUCCCGGGGCUCAACCCCGGAACUGCCUUUGAUACUGGAAGUCUUGAGUAUGGUAGAGGUGAGUGGAAUUCCGAGUGUAGAGGUGAAAUUCGUAGAUAUUCGGAGGAACACCAGUGGCGAAGGCGGCUCACUGGACCAUUACUGACGCUGAGGUGCGAAAGCGUGGGGAGCAAACAGGAUUAGAUACCCCAGUAGUCCCUGUCUCUUAUAC
rnacentral:rRNA from 1 species